UACGAAAGGAAAAAGUGAAUAUUCUUGGUUUAAUAGUUAAUUUAUUUAAUUUAUUUAUAUUAAUAAUUUUUAGGUGAAAUUUAUAAUUAUUAUAUAGUUAUUUUAUUGGUGAAGCUAUGAAAUUUAUAUAAAAGACAA
rnacentral:rRNA from 1 species